AACGAAGAGACCUGCACCAUCGUGCCGCCAUUGAGUCGCGAUUCGCGCUCACGAUUUGUCUGAGAAACAUGAGCAUUGGUGCACAAUCUGACACUCCAAGAUGCUAACGGGUGCAGAAAGGUGCUUCAGUUAAUCUCCAACGCAGCUUUUCCCAUCGAGCCACCAGAGACGGACAAUAGUUUCACAUUGAAGUGUCGGCACGAAGGACAUCAGGCAUUACUCAGCAGGUACAAGAGCUUCACUGAAGACAAAGUCCAUGUUAAAUAUAUAUACGUUCUUAUGGUUCACACAGUUUAAAACUGCUGUUCAAUGGUAAUUUCGAGGAUUGAAUACUCGCACAGCGAAAGUCUCUGACUGUAUUUGCUGCUUCUCUGAUGUCACUGCAAAGCGACACACACAAACACGUUUGGGGUUUAAAAAAAAGAUCUCUCCUCGGACUCACGGGCAUUUUUCCAUCUGAACUGUCAAUUAAUAAAUGAAAACAAUAAUUACACUACGGAAGUGCACUCCGCAGGGGGUUACUCCCCCUCAGCUCCCGAGCAGAGAGGCACCGACUCUCUCGACGGUCCCUCCCGACUCUCCUUACGCUGUAGAUGGCUGCACAGGUAACAGGGAUUCAUUAACCUCCUUCGGCGUGGAAUUAGUCUGGAGAUGCUCUGAAUCAAAAAGAGAGGGAAUCUUUCCAAGGAGGUUUGUUCUGUUUGUUUGUGCCUGACGGAGGUAAAGAUGAUCAAUUAUUAAACUGUCUGCAUCCAAUAAAGGAAAAAGAUGGAUGGUGGAUAUAUAGUGUCAACAUUAGAUGUCUAAUAGUUUCACAUUAUUCUCAUUAUUCGCUUUUCUCUGCAAGUGCAGUUAUGAUUAAACAACUUCAGACUUUUCAGGUGGAUUCAGCGUUUCCCCCUAUUACUCAUUGCGCUUCGCUCGGCUCAAUCGUCUACUUUUUAAAUGCAAAGUGUUCCUCGGGUUACUCAUUCGGCGGCUAUUUUUAAACCGCAGGAUUUCUGCACCGCCGCGAGACAAAAGAGAAGGUCUGUGGGUCCGCUGAUAAGCUGAGAGGACAAAGGAGGCUCGGAUCGGCCUGUACGGAGGGUGAAGGAUCAAAACCAGGCUCAUAGAAACCAAACGUGUUUGUUUCCAGGUGGGGGGGGGGGGGGUUAUCCUCGGGUCAAGCGCAUGAGAUAUUGAUUGACGACGGAGAGAGAAAGACCUUCAAAUUCAAUCUGACGUCAAAUUCAAUUUACCAUCUUUAAACGGUUUCUUUAAAUAAACACACAGUCGCAUAUUCCACAGGCUGAAAUGAGCCACUUGUUAACCAUCCGACAACCUGAGAUAAAUAGAGCAGUGAAAAAGUAUUCAGCUAAAUCUAAAUGGAUGAGAAAGACUGGCAACGCAGGCGGAAUGAUAUCAACUCUACCAGCUGUGAGAAUGUGACGAAAUGGGAGAAUUAAAUAAAAAGAACAUGACGCCUCAGUUUGGAGACGCCUGGUGGGUCCUCGUGUCCCA
ensembl:lncRNA